rnacentral:rRNA from 1 species
UACGUAGGGUGCAAGCGUUAAUCGGAAUUACUGGGCGUAAAGCGUGCGCAGGCGGUUAUGUAAGACAGGUGUGAAAUCCCCGGGCUCAACCUGGGAACUGCAUCUGUGACUGCAUAGCUAGAGUACGGUAGAGGGGGAUGGAAUUCCGCGUGUAGCAGUGAAAUGCGUAGAUAUGCGGAGGAACACCGAUGGCGAAGGCAAUCCCCUGGACCUGUACUGACGCUCAUGCACGAAAGCGUGGGGAGCAAACAGG